rnacentral:lncRNA from 1 species
GGUUAAGCUUUUGAAGACCCUACUCUUCCCUGGCCUUGGCCCUGUGCUCCUCCAGAAGGUUGGUCCGUGGAAUGGGGUCCGUCCCCGACCAACAUUAGUGAUACCGAGUGAUGUCGUGCCUGGGCUUAGCAUGACAUCCGUCUUGUCGACGUGCUGUAGAUCAUCGCGUAUAUUUUCCGCUGCUAAAGAUCAUAGCUUAAAUGGUUUGUAUUAUUUUCUCUAGGUUUGAAACUUUGUACUACUUUUAUAAACUCUUGUAAUGUAAUUCCCUAUUAUGUAAAUUGUGAUGGUGAUUGUAUCUCUGGACUCACCAUCGCGUGAGGUAACCUUAUUUGAUCCUGUGUAUCGGUGG